AUAAUACAAAAUAUACAAUCAAUAACUAAUUUCUUUAAUGGGUAUACAUUGUGUUGUUGCUACUUCAUAACAAAUUAGGAAAUACACGUUAGUAAAUCGAUAUGAAAUGGAAUUGCUGUUACACCACGUUGACCUUAGAGUUCAAAUUUCUUUAACACGAAUAGAUAGAUACAGUUUUGUUACGUUUACUUUGCAGAGGAAUACUAGCCAAGCUUCAAGGAACUGUAGACGUGAGUGUAUGGCUUUAAUUUCAACUCGAUACCUGCAAGGGUUCCCGAGAUAAAGAAUCUUGACAGACAGACAACAAAGUGGUCCUAUAAGGGUUCAAUUUUUUCCCUUUGAGGUACCAAACCCUGAAAAGUACAAUGGGAGAAAGCAGCUGCUAUGCGUACGAGAAAUAAACUAUUCUCUCGACGCGUGUUGUAGUGGUCCUACCACACUGUUACACAACUUAUACGUUUGAGAAUGAAUUGAUUAUCUGGUAGUCACGUCAGUAUACAGUUCCAUUACAGAGUACCCAGCCGCACCACAACAAGCAAUGUAAUAAGAGCUGAAACAGCUGAAAUACCGAAAAGCAUUUGAAUCAUUCAAAACUCAAAUAUGUUAUUGAUAUUUGAGAUAAGAUAAGGCUGUGAGACCAUGUGCGUGAUUUAUUGUAUCGAUUAUUAUUGAACAGAUGUUUGUUGGUGAUACAGUGACUGUGAUAGGAUUUGACAUACUAUAGAUUUCGCAAUGGAACAACCUGAUAAAAAGGGGAGCAAAAGUGUAAUAUUACAGAUUAUUUUAGCAUUUCUAUCCAAUUUCUCGAACAUUGCCCCUGGUAUGAGUAUAGGUUUCUCAGCAAUAGCCAUACCAGCAUUACGCCAUUUUGACACACAGCAAAUAUCUUGGUU